rnacentral:rRNA from 1 species
UGGGGAAUAUUGCACAAUGGGCGAAAGCCUGAUGCAGCGACGCCGCGUGAAGGAUGAAGUAUUUCGGUAUGUAAACUUCUAUCAGCAGGGAAGAAAAUGACGGUACCUGACUAAGAAGCCCCGGCUAACUACGUGCCAGC